AUUGAACGCUGGCGGCAGGCCUAACACAUGCAAGUCGAACGAGUGGCGGACGGGUGAGUAAUGUCUGGGACACUGCCUGAUGGAGGGUGAUAACUACUGGAAACGGUAGCUAAUACCGCAUGCCAUCAGAUGUGCCCAGAGGGGAUUAGCUUGUUGGUGGGGUAACGGCUCACCAAGGCGACGAUCCCUAGCUGGUCUGAGAGGAUGACCAGCCACAACGGAACGUGGACACGGUCCAGACUCCUACGGGAGGCAGCAGGGGGGAAUAUUGCACAAUGGGCGCAAGCCUGAUGCAGCCAUGCCGCGUGUAUGAAGAAGGCCUUCGGGUUGUAAAGUACUUUCAGCGGGGAGGCGUUACCCGCAGAAGAAGCACCGGCUAACUCCGUGCCAGCAGCCGCGGUAAUUC
rnacentral:rRNA from 1 species